CACGUAUAUAUUUCACAUACACAUGUAUAACCUAUAUACAACCGCGUUUUCUACUAGGCCACUAGGCGUCAAACGUCUCUCUCGGGAGUCUCGGGUAAUCGGGAUGUUAGAUUACAGCCGAAUAGGUCUCUCGUUUCGCAAUGAAACUCGCAAAACACGGCUGCUUAAUGUGCAUCAUUUAAUUUUCAUCUUAUCUACGUGUGCGUAUAUGUGUAUUGUACAUGCAUAGAUACAUACAUAUGCUGCAUCUGAAUAGAUCGCGUAUAUUUUUGUAAGCUUGGUCGCGAAACUGCGGAAUUGCUUUUAUUCCAGUGAUUGAACUAUCGCUAUUUGUGUCCAGACCGAUUAGUUUUUCGAUGUUUCCUUAUUGUUCGGAAAAUGUGAUAGAAGCGGAGCUGCAUGAAAGAAAGUGAAAGAUUAGAAAUUGUUAGCAUCAAACAAGUGUUGUGCGAUUAAAUACGCGAUAGUUGCCGCAACAUCAAAAUGAGAUAUGUAUCCACUUUGACUAGGGACUGUGCUUAGAUUUAUACAAUUAUGAAAAGAAGCUCGAGCAUAUACUUCACCCGAGAGUCCAAUCCUAUUCUGUAGGCCUAUUCUGUAACUUUUAACGACAAAUUCGCUAUCGUUACGCGUCGUUGCACAGCUAUUUUCCGAUAUGUUUCAGCUGCGUAACGACAAACCAUGCUAGUGAUAUUAUCGUUACGAAGUUACAAAAUAGGCCUACUGAGGAGAAAACGACUCGUGGAGUAUGUCUGAAAUAGUUUAUCGAAUCCUGCGUAUAGGAUCUUACAGCAGUUGCAAGUAAAACGCGCGGCUCCUGUAUCAUGAAUGUGGUCAGCAUAGCAGAGAGGUGGUGUCGAGGUGGUUGACACGCCUUCAUUUAUUUGAGAUGAUUGAAAGUGUAUCACGCAGAGCGUUGAGUGGCUCCAGUGGGAGAUACCACGAACGUGGUAGCUCCUUUUUGCUGAACUAGUGAGGAAUCGCAGAUUAAAAUCUUUAUCAGCCGUCGUUACCUUUCUGAUGAUACACAGCAUACAUUUCAAUUAGAUAAACGAGCAAAAGGAAAAUAAUCACGUAUUCUCGUAAAGAUCGCUUAGUUUGAAUUAUGUACAGCUACACUAACGAUAUAUGUCGUAGAGAAAGUUGCAGUACUCGUUAAAGAAGCGUACUUUCACUUCUUGUAUUCGUCAUACUCACUGAAUAGCUCUUCUAUUCUGCCGUUUAUUGCACAUGUCACGGGAAUUUCAAUCUAAUCAAGGCACGACAGGAUUAUGAGAUCGUAUUUUUCGUUUUUUAUUUUGUGCUAAUUUUAUUGUCUCUUAUUAUAAUACAUAUCUAUACUGAACUGCCGAUUUAUAUUUAUUUUUGUAGAACUUUCACUUUCUUUUAUAUAUACAGCCGUUCGUGCGUGUGAAUGAUGUAAAUCUCUAUCAGAGAAGUCAUUUUAUAACAAUAUACAGUUCCGAUCACCUUACGAUCACGCUGUGUUACAAAAGUUGAAUAAAAAAAUAGUUACCUUAGAAA